UACGUAGGUGGCAAGCGUUGUCCGGAUUUAUUGGGUUUAAAGGGUGCGUAGGCGGCUGUUUAAGUCAGUGGUGAAAGUCGAUCGCUUAACGAUCGAACUGCCAUUGAUACUGAAUAGCUUGAGUACAGAUGAGGUAGGCGGAAUUGACAGUGUAGCGGUGAAAUGCAUAGAUAUUGUCAAGAACACCGAUUGCGAAGGCAGCUUACUAAAGUGUCACUGACGCUGAGGCACGAAAGUGCGGGGAUCAAACAGG
rnacentral:rRNA from 1 species